rnacentral:misc_RNA from 1 species
UGGAGAGGAGGGUUGUGAAGAUGCUUGGCCUGGAAGUCGUGGGGCAAAAAGAGGUCGUUGUGGGACUGUUUGUACAGUUGGUUGGGGCUGAGACGAGGUUCGAGUUGGAGAUGGUGGCACAGAUGCAGCUCUUGGCUGUGGAGCUGCAAGAGGUGGCGACCGAGUUUGAGAGGCAGCAGGAGCUUCAGUUGUUGCACGAGAUGGCGAUACUGGCUGUGAGGUAACCCGAGAUGGUGAUGGAGGCACAGAGGCAGCUCGUGUUUGAGUUCUUGCACGAGAU